CCAUCCAGUAGUGCUGAGAUACUGCAUGCAAUGGGUCGACCUAUAGCACCCAAGAUGAGCGGGAUAUCAACUAUGGAUUAUCACACGGCCGACCCCAUCAUUCAAAUGCAGUUGUCUGGGGAUAUGGCCGCCAACAGGGAAGCUCAGAGGAAGGCUACACACAAUGAAGGUGCUGCAAAUUCAAUACUGAAAGUUAUAAUGUACAACAGAUGUACAUGUACUUAUGUGGUCAUAAUCAAAUAGAAGCAUUUCCCACAAAAUACAGUUAACGAAGCUUUAAUAUCAAAUCUGCCACUUCUAAAACUAAUAACAUAUUUGUGUGGAGGCUAUCCAUCCAUGCUGUAAACGUCUUAGUGUGUGUGUCUGUUCAUGUGUGUACUAAAGUACUAUCGAAAGCCAUCGAAAUAUCUACUAACUUGGUUUUUUUUAAGCCUAAAUUUCCUAAUAUUAUUGCUAAGCAUGCAUUAGUGUAGAGCCCAGUGUUAUGUUAGUUACUAGUAUCAUAGAAUCCAGCAGAGUUCAUCGUAUAUAACACAUGUAGUUAGUUGUACAUAAAAUUAAUAAUUUAUGCUAUUUUUUAAUAGCUAAGCAUGUUUUUUUGUUAUCUCCACGUUCAUGUCUCACCCUCACGUCAUGUUUCCUUGACUGCAGUAUGUGUACAGCAAGGGAACGGUACUGGACAAGACAGUCUGGCACCUUCGCAAGCACAACCUAUGCACUUGUCAGCUUCGUCACAAUUCUCUCCCCUCUUACAAUCAUCGUUGCCGACUGGAGCCUCUAAUCCAAACACACCACUCUUAAGCUCACUCGUACAAACUCUAUCCUCCAUUGCGAGCACGACCACUUCUCCGUCCACUCCUGUACCGAAAUCCUCCAUGCUGGCACAAGCCAACAACAAUGGCGGGGGUGGCGGUGGUGGUGGUGGUGGUCUCUCUGCCGCGGCUGCUGCUAGUCUGCUCAACACUCUGAUUCUGGCUCAGAAUGUGCUCACAAGCAACUCAAGUGCUGGUAGCCCCGGGCAAGAUUCAAUGUCUAUGGAAACGGUGGACCAAUCCUCUCAACAGUAGUGUACAGUAUAUUAUAAUUGUGGACUGUUUAUACUGUUCUAGUUUUAACGUGUGUUUUUUAGUAAUCUCUCCUUCACUUACUAUAGCUACAUUGUCAGUAUUAUUAUGUAUACAUAGUUUUUAUACAUGAUAUUUGUGUGGAGCUCUUUGAGAAAAAUAUUGUAGCCAAGCCCAUUUAUAUGUAACCACGCCCAUUAUAAUUAUGUGCAGCCUAGCCUCCAUCUCAAGCCGCACUUCCUAGAAAGUUGGCCUGGUAAUGGACUGCUUGUGCAUGAGCUAACCAUUAGCUGGCAUUGAGAAGAACCUUCAUCAAGAACAAGGUAAGUGUGUAUAAUGUGUAGUUAUGCAGUGCAAUGAGUUGACUGUGUACUAUUGAAUGUACAGUACAAAGAAUGGGAACCUAGCAUGCUUCAGUACUAGUCUGUAUGUACAUGCACUUGUAUACAAGGUAUGCUUCAAUGUAUGCAGUUUAGGUGUGUACAGGGAAACGUGUGUCAAUUGAGAACACUAGCUCACAAUAUUUGUACAUGACAUUGUACAGUACGUGUACCAGACCCUUCAUCACACUACCAGUUUGAAUGUGUCCAUGUGUUGUUUAUCCUGGCUACAGGACACUGCCGAGGGUAGCACUUCAGUGCUCUAGUUCUAAUUGUAGAUUGACUGAUCGAUUUGUCUUCUGUACUAUUGUUUGAUUUUUCCGCCCCUCAUCUUUUCUGGCCCCCAGUUAUGUGGCCAUUUUUCAGCCCGGCCAAGUGUUGAGGAGACAAGAAGAGGCACUGAGAAUGGAGGUAGAGGCGUACUAUGCUGCUAAGAAGGCCACUCAGUGUGACUAUGACCGUGUGACUCUUUAACCCCUCAGUUCCAUUAGGAUAACUGGGGGCCGGAAAAGAUAAGCCUACUAUGCUGCUAAGAAAGAGAGGGGCCUCACGUAAACUGGCCACUCAGUGUGACUAUGAUCAUGUGAAUCUUUAACCCCUCAGUUCCCGAGCCCCACCCCUCACUGUCUGACUCGGAAGAGGAGAUAGACUUUGUAUUCUGGGAGAAGGCUUCCACCCUACCCUCGGACAAGACCCCAACCAAGGACCUGAACUUGUUAUGAGACUGUUAAAUAUUAUUUUGUCUGUUUUUGUACUAUUUUCUGGCCAUGUAAUUAUGU